UACGAAGGGUGCAAGCGUUACUCGGAAUUACUGGGCGUAAAGCGCGCGUAGGUGGUUCGUUAAGUUGGAUGUGAAAUCCCCGGGCUCAACCUGGGAACUGCAUCCAAACUGGCGAGCUAGAGUAUGGUAGAGGGUGGUGGAAUUUCCUGUGUAGCGGUGAAAUGCGUAGAUAUAGGAAGGAACACCAGUGGCGAAGGCGACCACCUGGACUGAUACUGACACUGAGGUGCGAAAGCGUGGGGAGCAAACAGG
rnacentral:rRNA from 1 species